rnacentral:rRNA from 1 species
GACGAACGCUGGCGGCGUGCCUAAUACAUGCAAGUAGGACGCAGUUGCGAACGGGGGAUUAACGCGUAGGUAACUGCCUAUUAGAGGGGGAUAAAUAUUGGAAACGAUAGCUAAUACCGCAUACUAGUAGAUGGACCUGAGUUGUAUUAGCUAGUAGGUAGGGUAAUGGCCUCCAUAGGCGACGAUACAUAGCCGACCUGGAGGGGUGAUCGACCAACCUUGGACUGGGACACGGGCCAGACUCCUACGGGAGGCAGCAUGAGGGAAUCUUCGGCAAUGGGGGGAACCCUGACCGAGCAACGCCGCGGGAGUGAAGAAGGUCUUCCGGUCGUAAAGCUCUGUUGUUAAGGAAGCGGUACUUAACCAGAAAGGGACGGCUAACUACGUGCCAGCAGCCGCGGUAAUUC